CUGCAACUAAACUUUGGCAAUACCAAGGGGGCUUAGAUUUCUUCAACAAAAACUGUACUGCAAGCAUGGAAUCAGCAGCAACAAUGACUUUGUUCUUCUGGAUUAACCUGCAACCCUUUAAACCAGUCAGAAUAGCUUUAAGUUCUUGAAUUAUAACCGACUUUUCUCCUCCUGAUCCUGCAUAGGCCAGCAAAACUUCUCCCUGUGUGUUUCUUAUCACACCACCUAUACCACUCCUCACAUCAGUCACUGAUCCAUCAGUAUUCAGCUUUACAAAAUCUUCCCGAGGUUUGAACCAAGUGCAGUAGACUGUUUUCUUUCUCCUAAACUGACCAACAAGCCCAAGUUUAGCCAGAGUAUUUCUUGCAGAGGUAGUGUCUUGAACAACUCCUAUAGAUUCCUUUAGGUAAUCUUUGGCUUCUCUUCUAAUAAUAUCUCUGACAAUGCCCCAAGGUCUACUUUCAUUUCUGAAAGUUCUGUAGUUUCUUUCUUACCAGAUGAACACCUUGUAGAUUUCUGCCGUAACAUCAUUCUUGCUACAUGCUGCAAACACUUUCCGCCAUUUCCUAUUGACAUUGUUCUGGCCGAUAUCUAGUCCCAUCUCCACUUUGAUAGACUUCCA
rnacentral:lncRNA from 1 species